UCGCUGCUGUACCAAUUCGUGCGAGUAGU
rnacentral:sRNA from 1 species